GGAGGGAUCAUUACACAAAUAUGAAGGCGGGCUGGAACCUCUCGGGGUUACAGCCUUGCUGAAUUAUUCACCCUUGUCUUUUGCGUACUUCUUGUUUCCUUGGUGGGUUCGCCCACCACUAGGACAAACAUAAACCUUUUGUAAUUGCAAUCAGCGUCAGUAACAAAUUAAUAAUUACAACUUUCAACAACGGAUCUCUUGGUUCUGGCAUCGAUGAAGAACGCAGCGAAAUGCGAUAAGUAGUGUGAAUUGCAGAAUUCAGUGAAUCAUCGAAUCUUUGAACGCACAUUGCGCCCUUUGGUAUUCCAAAGGGCAUGCCUGUUCGAGCGUCAUUUGUACCCUCAAGCUUUGCUUGGUGUUGGGCGUCUUGUCUCUAGCUUUGCUGGAGACUCGCCUUAAAGUAAUUGGCAGCCGGCCUACUGGUUUCGGAGCGCAGCACAAGUCGCACUCUCUAUCAGCAAAGGUCUAGCAUCCAUUAAGCCUUUUUUUCAACUUUUGACCUCGGAUCAGGUAGGGAUACCCGCUGAACUUAAGCAUAU
rnacentral:rRNA from 2 species